GGGUCGUUAGCUCAGUCGGUAGAGCAGUUGACUUUUAAUCAAUUGGUCGCAGGUUCGAAUCCCGCACGACCCACCA
rnacentral:tRNA from 4 species